AUACGGAGGGUGCAAGCGUUAUCCGGAAUCAUUGGGUUUAAAGGGUCCGUAGGCGGAUUGGUAAGUCAGUGGUGAAAGUCUGCAGCUUAACUGUAGAAUUGCCAUUGAUACUGCUAGUCCUGAAUUACUGUGAAGUGAUUAGAAUGUGUAGUGUAGCGGUGAAGUGCAUAGGUAUUACACAGAAUACCAAUUGCGAAGGCAGAUCACUAACAGUAUAUUGACGCUGAGGGACGAAAGCGUGGGGAGCGAACAGGAUUAGAAACCCUAGUAGUCC
rnacentral:rRNA from 1 species